GCCUGGGUGGCUCAGUCGGUUAAGUGUCUGACUGCAGCUCAGGUCAUGAUCUCGCGGUUUGUGAGUUCGAGCCCCGCGUCAGGCU
rnacentral:tRNA from 1 species